GAUGAACGCUAGCGGGAGGCCUAACACAUGCAAGCCGAGCGGUAGGGUUUCUUCGGAAACUUGAGAGCGGCGCACGGGUGCGUAACACGUGUGCAACCUACCUUUAUCUGGGGGAUAGCCUUUCGAAAGGAAGAUUAAUACCCCAUAAUAUAAUGAUUGGCAUCAAUUAUUAUUGAAAACUCCGGUGGAUAGAGAUGGGCACGCGCAAGAUUAGAUAGUUGGUGAGGUAACGGCUCACCAAGUCAAUGAUCUUUAGGGGUCCUGAGAGGGAGAUCCCCCACACUGGUACUGAGACACGGACCAGACUCCUACGGGAGGCAGCAGUGAGGAAUAUUGGACAAUGGGUGAGAGCCUGAUCCAGCCAUCCCGCGUGAAGGAUGACGGUCCUAUGGAUUGUAAACUUCUUUUGUACAGGGAUAAACCUACCCUCGUGAGGGUAGCUGAAGGUACUGUACGAAUAAGCACCGGCUAACUCCGUG
rnacentral:rRNA from 1 species